rnacentral:rRNA from 1 species
GAUGAACGCUGGCGGCGUGCCUAAUACAUGCAAGUCGAGCGAACAGACGAGGAGCUUGCUCCUCUGACGUUAGCGGCGGACGGGUGAGUAACACGUGGAUAACCUACCUAUAAGACUGGGAUAACUUCGGGAAACCGGAGCUAAUACCGGAUAAUAUAUUGAACCGCAUGGUUCAAUAGUGAAAGACGGUUUUGCUGUCACUUAUAGAUGGAUCCGCGCCGCAUUAGCUAGUUGGUAAGGUAACGGCUUACCAAGGCAACGAUGCGUAGCCGACCUGAGAGGGUGGUCGGCCACACUGGAACUGAGACACGGUCCAGACCCCGACGGGAGGCAGCAGUAGGGAAUCUUCCGCAAUGGGCGAAAGCCUUACGGAGCAACGCCGCGUGAGUUAUGAAGGUCUUCGGAUCGUAAAACUCUGUUAUUAGGGAAGAACAAAUGUGUAAGUAACUAUGCACGUCUUGACGGUACCUAAUCAGAAAGCCACGGCUAACUACGUG